AAUUCCAUCAAUUUGAGUCUCUUAAAAUGUUACACUGAAAUGAAUCUCUCUGAAGAUGGACUUAUUGAUUUCUAUAUUCUUCCUCUAGCAUCAUGAAAUUUGACCUCUUCAGCCGUGCAUGGUUAACACUCCAUCUAUCUGAGUAAGUCCUGCCUUGAAGAAUCGUGAGUGCAAACCAGUUUGAGAGAGAAGAGGAAAAAUAAAUGUUUAGCAACCACUCAAGGAAAUUUAAAACACUAAAUUUCUGGACUUGCCAGACUAAGGGCCAGACUCUGGACCUCACCAAAUUCAUCAAGCUUCAUCAGAUAAACCACAUGUGUGAUAACACUCUGUACUCCUUCGCCUGAGACAUGAAAUUAUCAUGACAUUUUUCCUGAAGCAGCCGCAUAAUAUUCCUUGAUGCUGGACUUUAGGCAGCAACUACUUAAUAACCCAAACUGGCACCCAAGAUGAAUUUUAUUGGCCAUGCUGUUCUGGAAUUGUAAAUUUUUUACAUCUCCUUCAAAAUAUAAAGUAUAGAUCAUAGUCCAAGUUAGAAAAAUAUCCUACCAAAAAUUGUCCAACUGCAGAACCAUGACUUUGCUUAUUAUUUACUUAUAUCAAUAAAUUACAUUAGAAUGAUUGACUGUUGUCCAUGUUAUGCACAGAAAUCAACAUAAGAUAAUCACCUUAUUUGACUGCAGGGCCAUAGCAUUCCUUACUCAUUUUUAUUUAUGUAAUAAAUAAUGUUACCUGGGAAAAUGGAAAAACGGCUAUGUGUCAAAGUGUGUAUUCAGAUGUUCUUUCUUCUCACAUUUUUCUUUAAC
rnacentral:lncRNA from 1 species